rnacentral:rRNA from 1 species
ACAGGGAUUGCCCUAGUAACGGCGAGUGAAGCGGCAACAGCUCAAAUUUGAAAUCUGGCGUCUUCGGCGUCCGAGUUGUAAUUUGCAGAGGGCGCUUUGGCAUCGGCAGCGGUCCAAGUUCCUUGGAACAGGACGUCACAGAGGGUGAGAAUCCCGUACGUGGUCGCUAGCCUUUACCGUGUAAAGCCCCUUCGACGAGUCGAGUUGUUUGGGAAUGCAGCUCUAAAUGGGAGGUAAAUUUCUUCUAAAGCUAAAUACUGGCCAGAGACCGAUAGCGCACAAGUAGAGUGAUCGAAAGAUGAAAAGCACUUUGGAAAGAGAGUUAAAAAGCACGUGAAAUUGUUGAAAGGGAAGCGCUUGCAGCCAGACUUGCCUGUAGUUGCUCAUCCGGGUUUCUACCCGGUGCACUCUUCUAUAGGCAGGCCAGCAUCAGUUUGGGCGGUUGGAUAAAGGUCUCUGUCAUGUACCUCUCUUCGGGGAGAACUUAUAGGGGAGACGACAUGCAACCAGCCUGGACUGAGGUCCGCGCAUCUGCUAGGAUGCUGGCGUAAUGGCUGUAAGCGGCCCGUCUUGAAACACGGACCAAGGAGUCUAACAUCUAUGCGAGUGUUUGGGUGUCAAGCCCGAGCGCGUAAUGAAAGUGAACGGAGGUGGGAACCUUUCGGGGUGCACCAUCGACCGAUCCUGAUGUCUUCGGAUGGAUUUGAGUAAGAGCAUAGCUGUUGGGACCCGAAAGAUGGUGAACUAUGCUUGAAUAGGGUGAAGCCAGAGGAAACUCUGGUGGAGGCUCGCAGCGGUUCUGACGUGCAAAUCGAUCGUCAAAUUUGGGCAUAGGGGCGAA